AUCUUCAAAGCAGUUAGGAUUCUCAGCCUGGUGAUGUUUUUUAUUCUUAAUGCCGUUUCUACAGGUAAAAUGUCAGGUGCAAAACAUCAAAGUUUUGUUGAAGAUUAUUACAGGUCAACAUGAAAUUAUAUUAAGUUACGUAAUCUAAAAAUCGAAAGGGGGUUUAAAACUACUGUCCAAUAGCUCACUCUCUCUCCGCUCUGUUAAAUCUGCACCACAUCUAAAAGACACAUCCUUUGUGUUCAUGUGUUUUUUUCCUCUUUGAUGUGAAGCUGAGAGGAGGGAGGAGGAUGGAGAAGUAGGAGGAAGAGAGCAGCGAGACGGGGAAGGACAAGGGUGGAGGAUGUAGGUGUAAAAGCAGCUGCGGAGAGGAGGCAGAACUGACACACAAAGGUGGACGAAGCUUCAUUUCCAGGGAUAAGUUUUCCCACGAGUCCUCUGCCUCCUCCAUAUACAUCCAAAGAACGACCAAACCCUGCAGCGCCCGACCACAGAAGCAGGGAUUUCUCGGGCUGUUAUCUUGAAAACACACAGAUGAGCUGUCCUCUAAUUCCUCGGACAAACUGCCUGCAUGAGAAGAGAGAUGGCCACGUAGCUGAACAGCUGCGGCUUGCAUGCCUGUCCAAACUAACAGCAGUGCUGCUGAACCACUGGGGCUCACAAAGAGAUUAGAGACGGUUCCCCCACUCAGCGUCUCAACACCCACUCCGUUCCUCCUGAUCAUCUCGCUGAACUCCUCCCUCCAUCCACCCAUCCUACCAACUUCUCUCCCUUUCAAUCAACCCUCACCCAUCCUUCCUAUACCCCCUCAUCCCUCGACCCUCGACCCCUUCCCCCAUCCCUCGACCCCUACCCCAUCAUGCCUUCAUCCUUCCGCCCCCUCCAUCCCUCGACCCUUUCCCUCCCAGUAUUCCGCAUAUGUUCAUAACGUGUAA
rnacentral:lncRNA from 1 species